rnacentral:lncRNA from 1 species
GGAAACUUGAAUCCAUAGAGGAGAGUAGGGAUUGAGUUCUAUGUAGAUUGGGUCGUUCCUAUUCCAUCCAUCUUAAAAUCGGAAUCGGAAUGAAAUUCUUCCUGACCAAACGAUUGGAACGGAAGUCACCCAUUCCUAUUUCGAUUCCAAAUCCUUACCCCCCCCCAACAAGCACUUUAAUUUUAUUUUUAAUGAAUCAUAUUAUUAAAAUAUUAAAAUAUAUUCUAUUUUACAUAAAUUAUAAACAAUUCAUAUAGAAAAUGAUAACUAACUUAUUUUGCUAAA